rnacentral:rRNA from 1 species
CGGGUGAGUAACGCGUGAGGAACCUGCCUCAAAGAGGGGACAACAGUUGGAAACGACUGCUAAUACCGCAUAAGCCCACGGCUCGGCAUCGAGCAGAGGGAAAAGGAGCAAUCCGCUUUGAGAUGGCCUCGCGUCCGAUUAGCUAGUUGGCGAGGUAACGGCCCACCAAGGCAACGAUCGGUAGCCGGACUGAGAGGUUGAACGGCCACAUUGGGACUGAGACACGGCCCAG